CGAUCAUGUCGCGGAGACACCCGAAUUCGUUCAGGUGAUGACCACUUUCAUGUCUCGAGGUGGCUGCGACCCCCGCAAAGGUGUGGAGAAAGGUUUCAGAGGGGUACAAAACAAACUACUGGAUUCCGUGGGAUCACUAUCCAGGAUAAUGUACAUGGCUGACGAUGCCCUUGCUAGAGCCGAUCAGUUUGACGCCACCAUGG